rnacentral:rRNA from 1 species
GAUGAACGCUGGCGGCGUGCCUAAUACAUGCAAGUCGAGCGAACGGACGAGAAGCUUGCUUCUCUGAUGUUAGCGGCGGACGGGUGAGUAACACGUGGAUAACCUACCUAUAAGACUGGGAUAACUUCGGGAAACCGGAGCUAAUACCGGAUGAUAUUUUGAACCGCAUGGUUCAAAAGUGAAAGACGGUCUUGCUGUCACUUAUAGAUGGAUCCGCGCUGCAUUAGCUAGUUGGUAAGGUAACGGCUUACCAAGGCAACGAUGCAUAGCCGACCUGAGAGGGUGAUCGGCCACACUGGAACUGAGACACGGUCCAGACUCCUACGGGAGGCAGCAGUAGGGAAUCUUCCGCAAUGGGCGAAAGCCUGACGGAGCAACGCCGCGUGAGUGAUGACGGUCUUCGGAUCGUAAAACUCUGUUAUUAGGGAAGAACAUAUGUGUAAGUAACUGUGCACAUCUUGACGGUACCUAAUCAGAAAGCCACGGCUAACUACGUG